rnacentral:rRNA from 1 species
UACGGGGGGGGCAAGCGUUGUUCGGAAUUACUGGGCGUAAAGGGCUCGUAGGCGGCCAACUAAGUCGGAUGUGAAAUCCCCAGGCUCAACCUGGGAACUGCAUCCGAUACUGGAUGGCUUGAAUUCGGGAGAGGGAUGCAGAAUUCCAGGUGUAGCGGUGAAAUGCGUAGAUAUCUGGAGGAAUACCGAUGGCGAAGGCAGGUCUCUGGGCCAUAACUGACGCUGAGAAGCGAAAGCAUGGGGAGCGAACAGG